GAGAGAGAGAGAGAAUGAGAAGAAAGACAGAGGAAGCUCCUUUCUGCCACUUACCAACUUUCAGCAAUGGUCAGGACUGGGACGGGCUUGAGGUGGGAGAUGGAAACUCGCUCCAGGUCUCCCACACGCGUGGCAGGGACCCACUCACGGAGCCAUCACUGUCACCUCCAGGUCUCCCACACGCGUGGCAGGGACCCACUCAUGGAGCCAUCACUGUCACCUCCAGGUCUCCCACACGCGUGGCAGGGAUCCAGUCACAGAGCCAUCACUGUCGCCUUCCAGGCCUGCACUAUCAGGAAGCUGGUGUCCGGGGCCAGCCCAGGAACCAAACCUCUGAUGUAGAACGGGGGCGGCGUAACCACUAG